AUUGAACGCUGGCGGCAGGCCUAACACAUGCAAGUCGAACGAGUGGCGGACGGGUGAGUAAUGUCUGGGAAAAUGACCGAUGGAGGGGGAUAACUACUGGAAACGGUAGCUAAUACCGCAUACCAUCGGAUGUGCCCAGAUGGGCUUGGCUAGGAGGUGGGGUAACGGCGCACCUGGGCGACGAUCCCUAGCUGGUCUGAGAGGAUGACCAGCCAAACGGGAACUGAGACACGGUCCAGAGUCCUACGGGAGGCAUCAGUGGGGAAUAUUGCACAAUGGGAGCAAGCCUGAUGCAGCCAUGCCGCGUGUAUGAAGAAGGCCUUCGGGUUGUAAAGUACUUUCAGCGAGGAGGCGUUACUCGCAGAAGAAGCACCGGCUAACUCCGUGCCAGCAGCCGCGGUAAUUC
rnacentral:rRNA from 1 species